rnacentral:rRNA from 1 species
UACGUAGGGCGCAAGCGUUAUCCGGAAUUAUUGGGCGUAAAGAGCUCGUAGGCGGUUUGUCGCGACUGCCGUGAAAGUCCGGGGCUCAACUCCGGAUCUGCGGUGGGUACGGGCAGACUAGAGUGAUGUAGGGGAGACUGGAAUUCCUGGUGUAGCGGUGAAAUGCGCAGAUAUCAGGAGGAACACCGAUGGCGAAGGCAGGUCUCUGGGCAUUAACUGACGCUGAGGAGCGAAAGCAUGGGGAGCGAACAGG